rnacentral:rRNA from 1 species
UACGUAGGGGGCUAGCGUUGUCCGGAAUCAUUGGGCGUAAAGAGCGCGUAGGCGGCCAGAUAAGUCCGCUGUAAAAGUCAAAGGCUCAACCUUUGAAUGUCAGUGGAUACUGCCGGGCUAGAGUCCGGAAGAGGCGAGUGGAACUCCUGGUGUAGCGGUGGAAUGCGCAGAUAUCAGGAAGAACACCAACGGCGAAGGCAGCUCGCUAGGACGGUACUGACGCUGAGACGCGAAAAGCGUGGGGGAGCGAACAGG